rnacentral:snRNA from 1 species
GUGCUUGCAUUAGGAACACAUAUACUGAAGUCGGAACAAUACAGAGAAGAUUAGCAUGGGCCUUUGUUAAGGACGACACAAAUUCAUGGAGUGUCCCAUAUGUUU